rnacentral:rRNA from 1 species
AGAAUCAACGCUGGCGGCGUGCCUAACACAUGCAAGUCGCACGAGAAAGCGGGAGCAAUCCUGUGAGUAAAGUGGCGUACGGGUGAGUAACACGUGAAUCAUCUACCUUCGAGUGCGGAAUAACUGAGAGAAAUCUUAGCUAAUACCGCAUAAUACCCACGGGUCAAAGCAGCAAUGCGCUUGAAGAGGAGUUCGCGGCAGAUUAGUUAGUUGGCGGGGUAAUGGCCCACCAAGACGAUGAUCUGUAUCCGGCCUGAGAGGGCGCACGGACACACUGGAACUGAAACACGGUCCAGACUCCUACGGGAGGCAGCAGUGGGGAAUUUUGCGCAAUGGGGGAAACCCUGACGCAGCAACGCCGCGUGGAGGAUGAAAUCCCUUGGGAUGUAAACUCCUUUCGAUAGGGAAGAUAAUGACGGUACCUGUAGAAGAAGCCCGGCUAACUUCGUGCCAGCAGCCGCGGUAA